rnacentral:rRNA from 1 species
AGGAUGAACGCUGGCGGCGUGCUUAACACAUGCAAGUCGAACGGUGAAGUGAGGAGCUUGCUCCUUGCGGAUCAGUGGCGAACGGGUGAGUAACACGUGAGUAACCUGCCCUUGACUCUGGGAUAAGCACUGGAAACGGUGUCUAAUACCGGAUACGACCUCCGAAGGCAUCUUCUGGAAGUGGAAAGAAUUUCGGUCAAGGAUGGACUCGCGGCCUAUCAGCUAGUUGGUGAGGUAACGGCCCACCAAGGCGACGACGGGUAGCCGGCCUGAGAGGGUGACCGGCCACACUGGGACUGAGACACGGCCCAGACUCCUACGGGAGGCAGCAGUGGGGAAUAUUGCACAAUGGGCGCAAGCCUGAUGCAGCAACGCCGCGUGAGGGACGACGGCCUUCGGUUGUAAACCUCUUUAGUAGGAAGAAGCGAAGUGACGGUACCUGCAGAAAAGCACCGGCUAACGUACGUGCCAGCAGCCGCGGU